rnacentral:rRNA from 1 species
UACGUAGGUGGCGAGCGUUGUCCGGAAUAACUGGGCGUAAAGGGAGCGUAGGUGGUUAUUUAAGUUAAAUGUGAAAUCCCGUGGCUUAACUACGGAACUGCAUUUAAUACUGGAUGGCUAGAGUACAGGAGGGGUAAGCGGAAUUUCUAGUGUAGCGGUAAAAUGCGUAGAUAUUAGGAAGAACACCGGAGGCGAAGGCGGCUUACUGGACUGCAACUGACACUGAGGCUCGAAAGCGUGGGGAGCAAAC